rnacentral:rRNA from 1 species
UACGAAGGGGACUAGCGUUGUUCGGAAUUACUGGGCGUAAAGAGCUCGUAGGCGGCCUGUUGCGUCCGCUGUGAAAGCCCGGGGCUUAACCCCGGGUCUGCAGUGGAUACGGGCAGGCUAGAGGUAGGUAGGGGAGAAUGGAAUUUCCAGUGUAGAGGUGAAAUUCGUAGAUAUUGGGAAGAACACCGGUGGCGAAGGCGGCGCUCUGGACCGAGACUGACGCUGAGGCGCGAAGGUCAGGGGAGCAAACGGG